CCUACGGGAGGCAGCAGUGGGGAAUAUUGGACAAUGGGCGAAAGCCUGAUCCAGCCAUGCCGCGUGUGUGAAGAAGGCCUUCGGGUUGUAAAGCACUUUCAGUGGGGAAGAAAGCCUUGGGGCUAAUACCCUCGAGGAAGGACAUCACCCACAGAAGAAGCACCGGCUAACUCCGUGCCAGCAGCCGCGGUAAUACGGAGGGUGCGAGCGUUAAUCGGAAUUACUGGGCGUAAAGCGCGCGUAGGCGGUCUGAUAAGCCGGUUGUGAAAGCCCCGGGCUCAACCUGGGAACGGCAUCCGGAACUGUCAGGCUAGAGUGCAGGAGAGGAAGGUAGAAUUCCUGGUGUAGCGGUGAAAUGCGUAGAGAUCGGGAGGAAUACCAGUGGCGAAGGCGGCCUUCUGGACUGACACUGACGCUGAGGUGCGAAAGCGUGGGUAGCAAACAGGAUUAGAUACCCCGGUAGUC
rnacentral:rRNA from 1 species